rnacentral:rRNA from 1 species
GAUGAACGCUGGCGGCGUGCCUAAUACAUGCAAGUCGAGCGAACAGACGAGGAGCUUGCUCCUCUGACGUUAGCGGCGGACGGGUGAGUAACACGUGGAUAACCUACCUAUAAGACUGGGAUAACUUCGGGAAACCGGAGCUAAUACCGGAUAAUAUAUUGAACCGCAUGGUUCAAUAGUGAAAGACGGUUUUGCUGUCACUUAUAGAUGGAUCCGCGCCGCAUUAGCUAGUUGGUAAGGUAACGGCUUACCAAGGCGACGAUGCGUAGCCGACCUGAGAGGGGGAUUGGGCCAACCGGAAAUGAGACACGGUCCCGAAUCCUACGGGAAGGAGCCGUAGGGAAUCUUCCGCAAUGGGCGAAAGCCUGACGGAGCAACGCCGCGUGAGUGAUGAAGGUCUUCGGAUCGUAAAACUCUGUUAUUAGGGAAGAACAAAUGUGUAAGUAACUAUGAACGUCUUGACGGUACCUAAUCAGAAAGCCACGGCUAACUACGUG